GAUGAACGCUAGCGGCAGGCCUAAUACAUGCAAGUCGAGGGGUAACAUGAGUGCUUGCACUUGAUGACGACCGGCGCACGGGUGCGUAACGCGUAUGCAACCUACCUAUAACAGAGGGAUAGCCCAGAGAAAUUUGGAUUAAUACCUCAUGAUACUGCGAGACCACAUGGUUUUGUAGUUAAAACUCCGGUGGUUAUAGAUGGGCAUGCGUUAGAUUAGCUAGUUGGUAAGGUAAUGGCUUACCAAGGCAACGAUCUAUAGGGGGUCUGAGAGGAUGGUCCCCCACACUGGAACUGAGACACGGUCCAG
rnacentral:rRNA from 1 species